AGUGUAGCCAACAUCUCUUUAAAUUUUGCAAACAUUCCCGCCUUAUCUUCAUGUACUGUUUUUUUCUUAAUGAUUAGAUAUGGUGGUUUGAUGUAAUCAGGUAGCUCUGGAUUCAGAUCAUUUAGGAUAUGUUUCUUUGUCCUUCACCGAGGGGAGGUUUUAUCUAUUAAUUAGUCAAUUGUGGGUCCUAUUUCAGCUGGGUCACCCUUAUUUUUACUCUCAUCUCUUUCAAUCCUCACUUAUU
rnacentral:lncRNA from 1 species